rnacentral:rRNA from 1 species
CGGAGGAAAAGAAACUAACAAGGAUUCCCCUAGUAACGGCGAGUGAAGCGGGAAAAGCUCAAAUUUGUAAUCUGGCGCCUUCGGCGUCCGAGUUGUAAUCUCGAGAAGUAUUUUCCGCGCUGGACCGCACAUAAGUCUGUUGGAAUACAGCGUCAUAGUGGUGAGAACCCCGUAUAGGGUGCGGAUGCCCAGUGCUUUGUGAUAUACUUUCGAAGAGUCGAGUUGUUUGGGAAUGCAGCUCAAAUGGGGUGGUAAAUUCCAUCUAAAGCUAAAUAUUGGCGAGAGACCGAUAGCGAACAAGUACCGUGAGGGAAAGAUGAAAAGCACUUUGGAAAGAGAGUUAACAGUACGUGAAAUUGUUGGAAGGGAAACGCUUGAAGUCAGACUUGCAUUUUGGAGUUCAGCCGCAAGGUGUAUUCUUCAAUUCGCAGGCCAGCAUCAGUUUCUGGGGGUGGAAAAGCGCGGCUGGAAGGUGGCAGUCUCGGCUGUGUUAUAGCUGGCCGCUGGAUUCACUUUUGGGGACUGAGGAAAA